rnacentral:rRNA from 1 species
AUGAUACUCGAGGAUGAGAGGGGGUUAAACUUGCCAUGUUUCUAUGACAAUGUUGGUACCCGAGUGCAACCGGAGAGGAACCCCGAUCGCAUUCAAGCUUUCCUUCAAACACGUCGGGAAAUUGAAAAUGCCAACACUCAUACCCAGCUCCGCAAUGAUCUGGUCGAGCACCACUGGCAGCUGCUUGGCCGUCGCCAAUGA